AGCGAACGUUUGCGGCGGGCUUAACACAUGCAAGUCGAACGAGAAUCCCUUCGGGGAGGAAAGUGGCGCACGGGUGCGUAACACGUGGAUAACCAACCCAUUGGUUUGGGACAACACCGGGAAACUGGUGCUAAUACCAGAUGUGUCGCAGCUGUCUUCAGGCGGUUGCGAGAAAGGCCCGCAAGGGUCGCCAACGGACGGGUCCGCGUCCCAUCAGCUAGUUGGUGAGGUAAUGGCUCACCAAGGCAAAGACGGGUAGCUGGUCUGAGAGGAUGAUCAGCCACACUGGAACUGAGACACGGUCCAGACUCCUACGGGAGGCAGCAGUGGGGAAUAUUGCGCAAUGGGCGAAAGCCUGACGCAGCCACGCUGCGUGAGCGAUGAAGGUCUUCGGAUCGUAAAGCUCUGUGGGGGGAGAAGAAGAAGCCGGUGAAGAGCCGG
rnacentral:rRNA from 1 species